CGCUGUAGUUUGAUCCGUGGCUCAGAUUAGAACGCGUGGCGGAAUGCUUUACACAUGCAAGUCGAACGGUAGAGGGGGCAACCCCGUUGAGAGUGGCGAACGGGUGAGUAAUAGUAGUCGGAACGUGCCCAGUCGUGGGGGAUAACGUAGUGAAAAGUUACGCUAAUACCGCAUACGAUCUAAGGAUGAAAGCGGGGAUCGCAAGGACCUCGCGCGAUUGGAGCGGCCGAUA
rnacentral:rRNA from 1 species